rnacentral:rRNA from 2 species
UGCGAGACCGAUAGCGAACAAGUACCGUGAGGGAAAGAUGAAAAGAACUUUGAAAAGAGAGUUAAAGAGUACCUGAAACUGCUGAAAGGGAACCGAAUCGUUUCCAGUGUCUAUAAUCUAUGGCAUAUUUCAUUGGCGUGUGGAUGUGUGCGGCGUUUUGGAAGUAGUUUUCUGCUCCUGGCGUUGUUUUGCGUUCGCCUGCUGGUGCCCUGUGCUGUAGUGGGACGUCAGAGUCAGUUCGUAUACUGCGGGAAAUGGUUACUGGGGAGGUAGGUCACUUCGGUGGCUGUUAUAUCCUGGUGACUAGUCGUCGUGGUUGAGACUGAGGUGCCUACAAUGUGCUUUCGAGUCUAUGGGCCUCUCGUUUGGCUGUUUGCUUUGAUAGCUUGCUAUGUUAGUGAACGUGUUGAGCGAUUGAGACCUGUAGUAACUUGUUGCUGUUCGGGACUUUGAA